rnacentral:rRNA from 1 species
GAUGAACGCUGGCGGCGUGCCUAAUACAUGCAAGUCGAGCGAACAGACGAGGAGCUUGCUCCUCUGACGUUAGCGGCGGACGGGUGAGUAACACGUGGAUAACCUACCUAUAAGACUGGGAUAACUUCGGGAAACCGGAGCUAAUACCGGAUAAUAUAUUGAACCGCAUGGUUCAAUAGUGAAAGACGGUUUUGCUGUCACUUAUAGAUGGAUCCGCGCCGCAUUAGCUAGUUGGUAAGGUAACGGCUUACCAAGGCAACGAUGCGUAGCCGACCUGAGAGGGUGAUCGGCCACACUGGAACUGAGACGCGGUCCAGACUCCUACGGGAGGCAGCAGUAGGGAAUCUUCCGCAAUGGGCGAAAGCCUGACAGAGCAACGCCGCGUGAGUGAUGAAGGUCUUCGGAUCGUAAAACUCUGUUAUUAGGGAAGAACGAAUGUGUAAGUAACUAUGCACGUCUUGACGGUACCUGGUCAGAAAGCCACGGCUAACUACGUG